CGACCGAUGCGUCGCCGUUCCCUAGCUCGUUCCUCUCCGCUUCCGGGUAUCCCUGUCCUUCCUUCCUUCUGCCGCAGCGUGUUGUUAUCCUUCCAUAAGGUAGUAUUCCAUAAUAUGGCACUAUCACCGGACACUCGCACGUUACCGCGGACACUCGCGCAGCGUAUAUCGCAACGACGCGAGAUCAGGUUAGGAUUAUCGCGACGCCGUUUACGAAUUUCACAAGACGAUCGCCCGGCUGUUCGAUCGAUCCGAUUCACUUCCGACACUUGUUUUCGCACGCGAUGUCCACUAGGGAACGUGAAGUCAUAACACGACGGACGCGGAACUCCCGAUUUCGCGCCCUUCCGCGUCUCCGGGACGGGAGACCGAGGUGCUUGCUGAAGUUCGAGAGCAGGAAGCAGGAAGGUCACCUCGGAGAGAUAGGAGUCCCUUCUCGAUGAGAGACCGAUCGCGAACAAGGCUCGAGCACCGCUUCCGAGAUCUCAAUCGACAUACCGACGAGACGAGGAACGCGGAGUAGUUAGGUCAAGCGACAAGUGACGCUGCGAAUUGUGUCGAACGCGACGCACUUCACGAUACUCGAGAUCCCGGGUAUACCACACGCGACGUCGCACUAUUCUUUCGUACCCUCGCGCGCGAGUAACGAACAUAUCAAGGUCGUCGCCGUUGCCCACGACGUUCGCGACAUUCCGACGGCCAAAAAGAUCGCUCGAUCGCGCGCCAAACGAUACUUGGCUCUGCCUGCCCGCCAUUGUGCUCCGCGACUGAAGAGUGCGAGGGGGAAAGCGGUUCGCCACCUAGAUGCGAGUGACCGUGACGUAAACGCGGGGGGGCUCCAGCACCGCUUUUGAGAAUCGACGAGGGAAAGAGUGCGGAAUCACGUCUUCGGGCGACGCGAGACGCGGUCGGACGCGACGCACCUCACGAUACUCGGGAUCCCGCGUACUUCACGUCCGACAACGCGACACGACGAGAAACACGGAGCCGGUGGGUCAAGCCUCGUCGACAGUAAUCAUAAGUAGCUAGUUGCAACUCGCGACAGCCAAUGACUGUCGAGCUUGUACUAGAAACCAGACGCUCAUUGGCUGUCGCAAGUCGCGACUGGCUGCUUGCGACUUUUGUAGACGAGGCGUCGAGCGACUCGAGAUCCCGCGUAUACCACACGCGACGUAGCGCUAUUCUUUCGUACCUUUCGUACCCUCGCGCGCGAGUAACGAACAUAUCAAGGUCGUCGCCGUUGUCCACGACGUUCGCGACAUUCCGACGGCCAAAAAGAUCGCUCGAUCGCGCGCCAAACGAUACUUGGCUCUGCCUGCCCGCCAUUGUACUCCGCGAUCGGACUGAAGAGUGCGAGGGGGGAAGCGAUUCGCCACCUAGAUGCGAGUGACCGUGACGUAAACGCGAGGGGGGGGGGAGGGCUCCAGCACCGCUUUUGAGAAUCGACGAGGGAAAGAGUGCGGAAUCACUUCUUCGGGCGACGCGAGACGCGGUCGGACGCGACGCACCUCACGAUACUCAGGAUCCCGCGUAUCUCACGCCCGACAACGCGACACGACGAGAAACACGGAGCCGGUGGGUCAAGCCUCGUCGACAGCAGUCGUAAGCAGCUAGUUGCGACUCGCGACAGCCAAUGACUGUCGAGCUUGUACUAGAAACCAGACGCUCAUUGGCUGUCGCAAAUCGCAACUGGCUGCUUGUGACUUUUGUAGACGAGGCGUCGAGCGAUAAGUGACUCGAGAUCCCGCGUAUACCACACGCGACGUCGCGCUAUUCUUUCGUACCCUCGCGCGCGAGUAACGAACACGGGGGGAGGAGGGGGGGGAGUGGCUCCAGCACCGCUUUUGAGUAAUCGGCGAGGGAAAGAGUGCGGAAUCACGUCUUCGGGCGACGCGUGCCGUGUGAACUGUGACGCGGGACGCGGUCGGACUUCACGAGGGUUAAGAUCCCACGCAUUUCACGCCCGACAACGCGAUGCAACGCGACGAGGAACGCGGAGCCGUGGUCAGGUCAAGCGACGAGUGACUCUGCGAAUUGUGUCGAACGCGACGUACUUCACGAUACUCGAAACCCCGCGAACACAUCAAGGUUCGUUGUCGUUGUCCGCGACAUUCCGACGGCCAAGGAGAUCGCUCGAUCGCGCGCGCGCCAAACGAUACUUGGCCUUGCGUGCCCGACGUUGUGUUUCGCGACAGGAGUAAUUGUGAGAUAUCGAGAACCGAAGAGAGCAAAACGGGGGAAGUAGUUCGCCACCUAGGUACGAGUGGUCACGACGUAAACACUGAUCGGAGCUCCAGCACCGACGAAACGAAGAGCAUCGGGAUCCAUGUUUCCGGACGACGUGUGCUGUGUGAAGUGUAACGCGACGCACGUUUGUCGAGCGCGACGCACUUCACGAUACUCAAGCUCCCGCGUAUUUCACGCCCGACGACACGGACGUUGCUCGCGGAGUCAUUUCUUGUACCUCGAUCGGCCCCGACGGACACACCGGGGCUCAUUGCCGUCGCUCGCCGACGAUUCGCGUCCUACGGAGGAAAGAUCUCGCGAUCGCGACGAAGUGUGUGAAUUGGUGUAAAUGUCCUCGCGACGGCAUCGGCACGAGUCGCAGCGUCGAAGCGUCGACUAUGGCAGGAGGGACCCCUCUCCCCCCUCCCGGGGGGAUAGUGAACGAGAGAAGCCAGCUGCUGAUUGACCACUUCAAGAAUCCGACAUUUCUAGAAAGAGAAAAAAAAGUCGAGCCGCGUCGUCGUCCGCGCCGUUCGUGCCCUUGGAAUGCGAGCUCGCACUUGUUGUUAUCUUCGCGAUGACCAGGAAAAGGGACUCUCUUCGGACAAGCGUCGACGCUCGAAGUCCCGAUUGUAAAUCCGUCACUGUCACUUCGCGAUUUACCGUAGAUUGAAAAACAAUGGGACCAUCUCGACUCGCGGCCACUCCGUCCGAGAAGAGGUCGGCCGCGAAAACACGGAAAGGCUCUCGAUAUCUUAAUCUUAAUGACGUCAAAAGAUACUUUACAAGCGGGUAAGCGAUGAACGCGAGGUCACGUAGGUGACCCGCUGGUCGUCAACGUGGACUCGACAGCUGUAGUGUGUCAGUGAGGUCGCGCAGAGGAUAGCCAGCAAACCUUUCAAUCUUCUCAAAUUUUCUACGAAUCUUUUAAACCUCCUGUCUAAGACAGCAACGGAUUUAUAAUUGGUUCUUCGGGAUUGUGUUCGACCGCUUUUUAAGAACCGGAUGAUCGCCAACCACUUCGGUAACACCAUUGAGGUCGCGCAGAGGAUAGCCAACAAACCUUUCAAUCUUUUCAAAUUUUCUACGAAUCUCUUAAACUUCCUGUCUAAGACAGCAACGGAUUUAUAAUUGGUUCUUCGGGAUUGUGUUCGACCGCUUUUUAAGAACCGGAUGAUCGCCAACCACUUCGGUAACACCAUUGAGGUCGCGCAGAGGAUAGCCAACAAACCUUUCAAUCUUUUCAAAUUUUCUACGAAUCUCUUAAACUUCCUGUCUAAGACAGCAACGGAUUUAUAAUUGGUUCUUCGGGAUUGUGUCCGACCGCUUUUUAAAACCCGGAUGAUCGCCAACCACUUCGGUAACACCAUUGGUAAGUACACACCAUGUUAUCCACCAGAUUUAUCGACCAAAAUAUCGAAUUUAAGAAACUGUGUUUGCAGACCGAGAGUAACGACGCACAGUUCGAAAAGAGUAGGAAAUGCACGUAAAAAAAUCACGUAGAAAAUAUUAUUGAGCACUUUUCGUUCGCCUUCUCUUGAUUUUAAUCAGUGUCUAUUCGACGUAAAAUUUUAUCUCUACUUUCGACCUCAAUUAAACCUUUCAUGUCUUUUGAUAAUUUAAACGCUCAAAUAGAUUUUUUUUAAAUCUUUUCUAAAUAUACUAUGAUUAUAUAUUACGAUCAUAUUUUCUUAGAAAAAAAUAAAAGACAAAAGUUUUAUAACUUUAUUCCUAUUUCUUCCGAAUCAGUUUGUGGCUAUCAAGAGUUGGCAUCACAAAAUGUUCGUGCAGUAUAUCAAAAUGAGAUUAUUGCAAUUUUUUCAUAGUUUGAAACUAGCUCGAUUGUAUUAAAGCCUGUGGUUUAAAUCUGAAGUAAAUAGGUUCAAAAUAGUGAAAAAUUAAAACAGAUCUAAAUUGAAUAAUGUUAAUCUAAAUAAUUGAAAGCUAUAAUUGACAAUAGACAAAACAAAUAUUGCAUGAAUUAUAUUGCAUGAAACUGAAUUUGUCGAUUCGCAAAAAUUCACUCAUUAACACGAGAGCUAGACUUUGAAAUGCUAAUUAAAAAAAUUCUUUUUACUAUUUAAAUAAAGGACAAAGUUUUGAAAAAAAAAAAAGAAAUUAAAAUCUGCAAGACAAAAUUAUACCUGAGCGAAUUGUUUUUUACAUUAAAGAACAUGAAUCUGUACUAUUAAAAAUUCAAAGCUGAAUCAGAGCGGAGAGGGGAAGGAAGGAGAACAUUAGCAUUUGUUUUCUUUUUCGUGAAAACACGAAACGUAUUAAGUGCGUUAAUGCCCUUGGCCGAAACAUAAUU
rnacentral:lncRNA from 1 species